UACAGAGGUCCCAAGCGUUGUUCGGAUUCACUGGGCGUAAAGGGUGCGUAGGUGGUGAGGUAAGUCGGAUGUGAAAUCUCCGAGCCUAACUCGGAAACUGCGUCGGAUACUAUUCGGCUAGAGGAAUGGAGGGGAGACUGGAGUUCUCGGUGUAGCAGUGAAAUGCGUAGAUAUCGAGAGGAACACCAGUGGCGAAGGCGAGUCUCUGGACAUUUCCUGACGCUGAGGCACGAAAGCCAGGGGAGCAAACGGG
rnacentral:rRNA from 1 species